GAGGAUCUCAUCAGCACGCUCUCCGGCGCGGCGGCGGCCCUUCCUUCGAGACUAGGAGCUCGCCGUCGGAGUCAUCCCCUUCCCCAAUCCCUGCGACGCGUUCGGCCGGUCCGUGCGGGAGGAGGACGACGAUGAGGCGCUGCGCUGGGCGGCCAUCGAGCAGCUGCCCAUCUACGACCGCAUGCGCAAGGGCAUCCUCACGGGGGCCGCGGCCGGCGUCGAGGAGGUGGACAUCCAGGGGCUCGGCAUGCAGGAGCGCAAGAACCUCAUCGAGCGCCUCGUGCGCACCGCCGAGGAGGACAACGAGCGCUUCCUGCUCAAGCUCCGCGACCGCAUGGAGCGGUGAGUAAAAGAAAGAAAAAAAAGUUCAGCUCUUAUUUGAAUCCUUGGUCACCGGUGAAGUGAAGAGAAAUUCAGAAAGCGAUUGUAAAUUGACCUGCAGGGUUGGGAUCGAUAAUCCGACGAUAGAGGUGCGUUUUGAGAACCUGAACAUCGACGCCGAGGCCUACGUCGGCAACCGAGGUGUCCCCACGAUGACCAACUUCUUCUCCAACAAAGUCAUGGAUGUACUAAGUGCUAUGCACAUCGUCUCUAGCGGGAAGAGGCCUGUCUCCAUCGUUCACGAUAUCAGUGGGGUCAUAAGACCCGGCAGGUAAGAAGCCAAAGAAUUUUAAAGUGCAAGGUUUUCAGUUUUUCUGUAGUUGUACUUACUAACUGGCACUUCGUUCAGAAUGUGAACGUCCUUGCUGCUUGGACCUCCUGGAUCUGGGAAAACAAGUCUACUUCUGGCUUUGGCAGGGAAACUUGACUCCAAUCUGAAGGUGUCAGGAAGAGUGACUUACAAUGGUCAUGACAUGGAUGAAUUUGUCCCUCAGAGGACAUCGGCAUACAUCAGGCGGCACGAUGUUCACGUCGGCGAAAUGACGGUCCGGGAAACACUUGCCUUUUCUGCAAGAUGUCAAGGAGUCGGAACGCGUUAUGGUAUGUAAACACAGACAUUGGAAAGGAACACAGAUAAUUAUUCACCUUCGGGGUGAACCUGAUGGUGUUUUCAAAUUACGCAGACAUGCUUACUGAGCUUUCAAGAAGGGAGAAAGAAGCCAACAUUAAAACCAGAUCCUGAUGUCGAUGUUUACAUGAAGGCUAUCUCCGUGGAAGGUCAGGAGAGCGUGGUUACAGAUUACAUCCUCAAGAUUCUGGGUCUGGAGAUCUGUGCGGAUACAAUGGUUGGAGACUCUAUGAUCAGAGGUAUCUCAGGAGGACAAAAGAAGCGUGUCACAACCGAACGAUGGCACAGCAACAGCUUCUUUCUUGCUAACCAUUGCUAGACAUAACUUGACGAAAAGAAUAGAGCACAUAGAAAACGUUCUCAAUGAUUUGAAGAAAUCACAUCUGUUGAACCAGCAAAGCAGCAGCAGCAGCAGUAAGAAAGAAAGGAGUAGCAGGCAUGAGGAUAUUGAGUACCUGUACAGAAGCAUUGAGCGGAAGGUAAUUGGUCGAGAUAAGGAGCGUGAGAAGCUUAUCAGUAUGCUUCGUAGGGGACCUGGUCCGGAGACACCAAGCUCCAGUAGCAGUAAACAUUAUUCUGUGAUUGGUAUAUAUGGCAUUGCAGGGUCUGGGAAGAGUACCCUGGCACAAUAUGUCUGUGAUUAUGAGAAGGCCGAAGGCCAACAUUUUGACCCUGUCAUGUUCAUUCAUGUGUCUCAGACAUUUAGGGUGGAUAAGAUAUUUCGUGACAUGCUGAGGGAGAUCAGGAAGGACAGGCAAUCUGACAGCAACAGUGUUAAAUGCCUACACGAUGAGCUGAAGGAAAAUGCUUCUUGUUGGUACUGGAUGAUCUCUGGGUCACUCGUGAGAAUCAGGAGGAGCGUGCUAUUCUACUUAAUGUGCUCGAUGCUGGGCAGAGUGGAAGUCGGGUUCUGGUGACAGCUCAGAAGAAAGAUGUAGCUGCAGCGAUAGGCGCUGAGGAGCAGAUCCCGAUUCCGGAUAUGGAAGAGAAGCAGUACUUUUCGAUGUUCAUGCACUACGCCCUAGAAGGCAAGCGUGUUGGUGACGGAAGGUUUAUAGCAAUAGGGAGAAAAAUCGCGAAAAAGCUCGGCAGAUCACCCAUUGCAGCAGUCACAGUGGCAGCACGGCUUCGGAGCAACAGCAGCAUCGAUUUCUGGGAGACAACAGCGAACCUUGACAUGUUGGACGAAACAAUGGGAGCUCUGUGGUGGAGCUAUCAGCAGAUAGGUGUAGACGUCCGGCGAUGCUUUGCAUACUGCAGCACUUUUCCCAGAGGAUACAGGUUAGUACGAGGCGAGUUGGUUCACAUCUGGAUAGUGCAAGGGUUCAUAAACACCAGGGUUAAUGCAACUGAGCAACCAGAAGAUAUAGGCCUGCACUACAUUAACGAACUGCGGACCUUCUCAUUUCUGCAGAUAGAAAGAACAGUUUUUGGCACUGAAACGGAGGCGUUCACGAUUCAUGACCUGCUACACGAGUUGGCAGAGAGGGUCAGCGGAAGCGAAUGCUUCAGAGUUGUUUCAAAUAGCUCACCAAAACAUAUUCCGCAGGAGGUUCGCCAUCUCUUUGUUGGCACUGGGACUGACAGUAGAGCAGCUAUCGCAAAGAAAAUUCUAGGUCUGGUAAAUCUACGCACUCUCAUCAUCGUCGAAGAGUACAGCGAAAACAAGAGGAAAACAUUUGCAGCUGAAGAUGAUGAGGAACGGUCAGGCCGCACCUUAGUUAACGAGGAAGUCUUGGGCAGAAUGUUCAGGAGCCUGAGGAAACUGCGGGCGCUGGUCGUUACAACGAAACAGUACCAUGAACCAGCGUUGUUAGUCCCAGCAUCUAUCGAUUAGAUGAAGCAUCUGCGUUAUCUAAGCUUUAAUCUGGACUGUUCUCAUCGCAGUGUGGAGCUUAUUUUCCCAAGCACAUUUAGCAAACUUUACCAUAUGCAGAGCAUAUAUAGUGAGAAAAUUUCCUGCGCCAAAGACGUGACACAAAAUCUCACUUCCUUGCGGCACAGCUCUUCGUCGUGGAUGGGAUUUGCAAACGUUGGCAGGCUGACGUCGCUCCAAUCGCUACGGUACUUCCAAGUGAAGAGAGAACAGGGGCACGAACUGAAGCAGCUGAAGCACCUGAACAACCUUCGAGGCACUCUGGCGAUUGACGGUCUGGGGGUCGUCAGAAGCAAAGAGGAAGCUCUUGAAGCACACCUAGCCAGCAAGGAACAACUAAGGAAACUGGAGCUGACAUUCUCUGUCCGUUAGGCGGGGGAUCCGAACGCCGUGGCAGAGAUACUUAACCGCCUUUUACCGCCGGAGGAUCCAACCAACCAUAGGUACCAUGGCUGGAUGAUGGGAGGCCAGGCUCCAGACGUUGCUGCAGAGGUCCUUGAGGGCCUUUGCCCCCCGAAGGAUCUUGCAACACUCACAAUCAACCGCUACAAGGGUUCGAGGUACCCUAGCUGGAUGCUGAGUAGCCAGAGUCCAGGAGCGCUGAAGUACCUGCAAGAGCUUGAGCUCCAUAACUGCAACCGAUUGGCAUCUUUUCCUGAAGAAGAGACCGAGCUGUUCAGUUGUCUGCGUGAGCUACUGAGCUUCGAGUUAGCUUGUGCGACUGGGACAGCAUGCCAGAAAAUAUGGAGCCCCUUGUUUCGCUCCAGAGUGUAUUGAUUAUGAGGUGCGAUAGGAUGGAGCGCCUUCCAACCCUGCCCCGGUCGCUUGCGAAGGUUGAAAUCCAUGGGUGCCGCGUCCUCAGUAGAACCUGCCAAUCAGAGGGACACGAGAACUGGCAGAAGAUCCUGCACAUUCCAGAGAAAAAUAUAUCCCCAAGAAGGAGCAUGGCGCAGUGAGGGAGGGAGGACGAUGAGACCACUGUUUCCAUGUUUACCAGCGACAACUGACCUGGGAUUGUAAUAUGCAUCCAUUAACUGAGGAUUGUUCUUAUACGUUUGUGAUGAAUCCACCUGACAAUCUUUUUUUUUUGAAAAUAGGUACACUAGCUAUUAUUAUCAGUAUUAUUGGAAGUGUACUUAAUGGAUGAUCAGAUCUUUUUUAUUCUCUCUAUUUGGGGAACUUUCUUGUAAGACUUUUUCGUCUCUCUAAAUAUAUAAAGAUGUGCAGCUUUCCUGCU